UCCGCUGUGCAGGAUGGUGUAUGUGCAGACAUUAGAAGGAUGUCACUGAAAAUCUGAUUUUGAAGAGGCGGGGCCUACAAGCAUGAUUUGUGACAUCAUAAAUCGUUUGGAAGCUAAUCCUGGUCUGUCAAAAUGAAAAGAGGACUAGACAAAGAAAACAGCACCACCUACGGAGAGCGAACCCCCAUGGAGAUCAUAUCUGAGAGAACAUGUACAAACAAGAUCGGCAUGACGAUAAAGGCCUUCGAAACAAAACUACUUCGGAUGAGGAUUUCCCACAAAAAAGCUGGAGAUGCCAAAUCUGUCGAUCCAGGAUGGACUGCAAAACAGUGGAGCGGUGCGCACAACCCUGUUGCAAAGACCACAAACAAGAGAAUGUGAUUCAUGUUUC